UGUCUUCAGGGCAGGGUGAAAAUCCCGACCGGCGGUGACAAGUCUAGAAUCACUAGAUUUGAAGUCCGUGAGCGCAAGCUGAUGUGGUGCAAUUCCACAACCGACAGUAUAGUCUGGAUGGGAGAAGAC
rnacentral:ncRNA from 1 species